GGGGGCGUCACGGUUUCGACGGGGAUAACUGAAGCUGUAGUGGCAUACCGAGGUUCCUAUCGGCCUCGUUAAACAGGUAGGAAAAACGUAAACGCAGAUAAUUACGAUUACGCUUUAGCCGCUUAAGACGGCUAACGUUCUCCUGAUUUCUCCUAUCGGAUCAGAUGAGGGCGUCAUUUAGGUAGGAUAACCGAUCUCAUCUUCCUGGGGUGAGAAAGGCGAAAACUAAACAGGAUAGUACCUGAGAAAUCCUGCCUCUGGGAGAUUUCAGGUGCGAAUUUAAAACAGAGGAUAUGUAUGUAGAAGCUGCAGUGGAAUAUUUUCGGACGCGGGUUCGACUCCCGCCGCCUCCACCA
rnacentral:tmRNA from 1 species